CUUUUGCUGUUGCUCUGCAAAGAUUUGCAGCUGGCGUUGAAAGUUUUGUCGACGGGUUUUGUCAUCAUAAAUUUUAAUAUUUUUUUCAUUCCUUUGCUUGUCUGUUUUUUUUUUUCGUUUGUUUGUACGUUUUUUCGUUGUCUUUUCGGACGCUUGCAGUACAAUGAAAGCCUUUUUCCUUUUUGCAACCCAGAAAUGUGAAAAUGAGCACGUUAAUAGUGGAAAAUGCAGUUGAGACCGCAGCCAAAGCCACAGCCAAAGAAGUCGGCUGAAGGCGCAAGGCUUGCGGCACCAAAGUGGCAAAAUGUGCGUCACACGCGGCGUAUGCGCAAUGCAACAGUACGAGCAAAGAAACUGUUCAGGGAAAAGAGAGAGAAGAGGAAGAGGAAGAGGAGAAGAGAUGAAUCCAGACGAGACGAGUGCUGAAUGCAUGCUGAUGAGCGAGCAUUCGAAUGGAAUAUGAAUGACACAAAUUCAAAUGCAAAUGCAAAUGCAAAAUCCGAAGUGCAACAGCAACAAGAAUAACAACCACAAUAAGGAAAAAAUUCACUUGAAAAUUGCCAAAAAUUUGCUGUCAAGCGAUUAAGUUUGAAACUGGGAUUUAUUUCUUCAAAACGAAUAUUUUAUUUUGCGUGCAAGAUUGAUACAAAUACAAACACAAAAAUGUAUGUGUGUGUGAGUG